rnacentral:rRNA from 1 species
UGCCAGCAGCCGCGGUAAUACGAAGGGCCCAAGCGUUAAUCGGAAUCACUGGGCUUAAAGCGUACGCAGGCGGACUUGCAGGCGUCUUGUGAAAUCCCUCGGCUCAACCGAGGAAUUGCUUGGCGAACCGCAAGUCUUGAGUCAGGUAGGGGCUGUCAGAACGAUAGGUGGAGCGGUGAAAUGCGUAGAUAUCUAUCGGAAUGCCGAAGGAGAAAUCAGGCAGCUGGGCCUGUGCUGACGCUGAGGUACGAAAGCGUGGAGAGCGAACGGGAUUAGAUA